rnacentral:rRNA from 1 species
GAGAGCGGCGGACGGGUGAGUAAUGCCUAGGAAUCUGCCUGGUAGUGGGGGAUAACGUUCGGAAACGGACGCUAAUACCGCAUACGUCUACGGGAGAAAGCAGGGGACUUCGGGCCUUGCGCUAUCAGAUGAGCCUAGGUCGGAUUAGCUAGUUGGUGGGGUAAUGGCUCACCAAGGCGACGAUCCGUAACUGGUCUGAGAGGAUGAUCAGUCACACUGGAACUGAGACACGGUCCAGACUCCUACGGGAGGCAGCAGUGGGGAAUAUUGGACAAUGGGCGAAAGCCUGAUCCAGCCAUGCCGCGUGUGUGAAGAAGGUCUUCGGAUUGUAAAGCACUUUAAGUUGGGAGGAAGGGUUGUAGAUUAAUACUCUGCAAUUUUGACGUUACCGACAGAAUAAGCACCGGCUAACUCUGUGCCAGCAGCCGCGGUAAUACAGAGGGUGCAAGCGUUAAUCGGAAUUACUGGGCGUAAAGCGCGCGUAGGUGGUUAGUUAAGUUGGAUGUGAAAUCCCCGGGCUCAACCUGGGAACUGCAUUCAAAACUGACUGACUAGAGUAUGGUAGAGGGUGGUGGAAUUUCCUGUGUAGCGGUGAAAUGCGUAGAUAUAGGAAGGAACACCAGUGGCGAAGGCGACCACCUGGACUGAUACUGACACUGAGGUGCGAAAGCGUGGGGAGCAAAC